rnacentral:rRNA from 1 species
UGGGGAAUUUUGGACAAUGGGCGAAAGCCUGAUCCAGCAAUGCCGCGUGUGUGAAGAAGGCCUUCGGGUUGUAAAGCACUUUUGUCCGGAAAGAAAUCCUUGGCUCUAAUACAGUCGGGGGAUGACGGUACCGGAAGAAUAAGCACCGGCUAACUACGUGCCAGCAGCCGCGGUAAUACGUAGGGUGCAAGCGUUAAUCGGAAUUACUGGGCGUAAAGCGUGCGCAGGCGGUUUGCUAAGACCGAUGUGAAAUCCCCGGGCUCAACCUGGGAACUGCAUUGGUGACUGGCAGGCUAGAGUAUGGCAGAGGGGGGUAGAAUUCCACGUGUAGCAGUGAAAUGCGUAGAGAUGUGGAGGAAUACCGAUGGCGAAGGCAGCCCCCUGGGCCAAUACUGACGCUCAUGCACGAAAGCGUGGGGAGCAAACAGGAUUAGAUACCCUGGUAGUCCAGCGCCCUAAAACGAUGUCAACUAGUUGUUGGGGAUUCAUUUCCUUAGUAACGUAGCUAACGCGUGAAGUUGACCGCCUGGGGAGUACGGUCGCAAGAUUAAAACUCAAAGGAAUUGACGGGGUCAUAGCUGUUUCCU